AGAUCAUCCAUCAAGGGAGAGUUUAGGCAGGAAAAAUCCAGUGUGCUUGGAGCAUAGCCGUCAUUUGAGGAAGAAGUCCAGCAGGCAAGAAGGUCCUAGAGUCCAGAACACAGUGCCAGGAAACCAGAGUGAAUCCAGGAGGUAGCCGGUCUGCAUGUACCAUCGUGAAGGCUGGACACUUGAAGGCAUCCCGGAGGAACACCUGUUUCUGAUGUGCACAGAGUGGGCUAAGCAGGCCUGUUAGGGGAGCCCCGAUGUGCAGUGCUGAGGCCUUGAGGAGAGGCUGGAAUCCUGUUCUGAGGCCUCCCCUUCAUCUGGAGCCCUGGCCUGGAGGACCCGGGCAUAGGGUAGAUUUUCAGCAUCAGGACUCAGCUCUAGGUAGGCUCCUCGCCAUGGGAGCCCGGCAGAUGCUUCAGUGCCAGGACACGAGGACAGGCGAUGGUCACAUUAGGCCGACUCAGUGUUGAGUCUCCUGUGCUGUCAACUGCAGGCUCCUUCA
rnacentral:lncRNA from 1 species